rnacentral:rRNA from 1 species
AUUGACCGCCGGCGGCAGGCCCACCUCAUGCAAGUCGGACGAGUCGCGGACGGCUGAGUAAUGUCUGGGAACCUGCCCGAUGGCGGGGGAUAACUACUGGAAACGGUCGCUAAUCCCGCCUACCAUCGGAUGUGCCCCUAUGGCAUUAGUUUGUAGGUGAGGUAACGGAUCACCUAGGAGACGAUCCCUAGCUGGUCUGAGAGGAUGACCAGCCACACUGGCACUGAGACACGGUCCAGACUCGUACGAGAGGCAGCAGUGGGGAAUAUUGCACGAUGGGCGCAAGCCCAGUGCGGCCAUGCCGCGUGUAUGAAGAAGUCCUUCGGGUGGUAAAGUACUUUCAGCGGGGAGGCGGUACCCGCAGAAGAGGCACCGGCUAACUCGGUGCCAGCAGCCGCGGUAAUUC